rnacentral:rRNA from 1 species
AUUGAACGCUGGCGGCAGGCCUAACACAUGCAAGUCGAACGGUAACAGGAAACAGCUUGCUGUUUCGCUGACGAGUGGCGGACGGGUGAGUAAUGUCUGGGAAACUGCCUGAUGGAGGGGGAUAACUACUGGAAACGGUAGCUAAUACCGCAUAACGUCGCAAGACCAAAGAGGGGGACCCUCGGGCCUCUUGCCAUCGGAUGUGCCCAGAUGGGAUUAGCUUGUUGGUGGGGUAACGGCUCACGAAGGCGACGAUCCCUAGCUGGUCUGAGAGGAUGACCAGCCACACUGGAACUGAGACACGGUCCAGACUCCUACGGGAGGCAGCAGUGGGGAAUAUUGCACAAUGGGCGCAAGCCUGAUGCAGCCAUGCCGCGUGUAUGAAGAAGGCCUUCGGGUUGUAAAGUACUUUCAGCGGGGAGGAAGGGAGUAAAGUUAAUACCUUUGCUCAUUGACGUUACCCGCAGAAGAAGCACCGGCUAACUCCGUG